rnacentral:rRNA from 1 species
GACGAACGCUGGCGGCGUGCUUAACACAUGCAAGUCGAACGGAAAGGCCCCUUUGGGGGUACUCGAGUGACGAACGGGUGAGUAACACGUGAGUAACCUGCCCUUGACUUCGGGAUAACUUCAGGAAACUGGGGCUAAUACCGGAUAGGAAUCCUUGCUGCAUGGUGGGGGUUGGAAAGCUUCGGCGGGUUUGGAUGGACUCGCGGCUUAUCAGCUUGUUGGUGGGGUAGUGGCUUACCAAGGCUUUGACGGGUAGCCGGCCUGAGAGGGCGACCGGCCACACUGGGACUGAGAGACGGCCCAGACGCCUACGGGAGGCAGCAGUGGGGAAUAUUGCACAAUGGGCGGAAGCCUGAUGCAGCAACGCCGCGGGCGGGAUGACGGCCUUCGGGUUGUAAAACGCUUUCAGCAGGGGCGAAGCUUGUGGUGACGGUACCUGCAGAAGAAGCACCGGCUAACUACGUG